GGCAGCGGGAGCUCAGUGGUUAAGUCGUUGGACUACUAAUCAGAAGGUUGUAAGUUCAAAUACCUGCGCUCCCA